rnacentral:rRNA from 1 species
GACGAACGCUGGCGGCGUGCUUAACACAUGCAAGUCGAACGGAAAGGCCCUGCUUUUGCGGGGUGCUCGAGUGGCGAACGGGUGAGUAACACGUGAGUAACCUGCCCUUGACUUUGGGAUAACUUCAGGAAACUGGGGCUAAUACCGGAUAGGAGCUCCUGCUGCAUGGUGGGGGUUGGAAAGUUUCGGCGGUUGGGGAUGGACUCGCGGCUUAUCAGCUUGUUGGUGGGGUAGUGGCUUACCAAGGCUUUGACGGGUAGCCGGCCUGAGAGGGUGACCGGCCACAUUGGGACUGAGAUACGGCCCAGACUCCUACGGGAGGCAGUAGUGGGGAAUAUUGCACAAUGGGCGGAAGCCUGAUGCAGCAACGCCGCGUGCGGGAUGACGGCCUUCGGGUUGUAAACCGCUUUCGCCUGUGACGAAGCGUGAGUGACGGUAAUGGGUAAAGAAGCACCGGCUAACUACGUG